GACGAACGCUGGCGGCGUGCCUAAUACAUGCAAGUUGAGCGCUGAAGGUUGGUACUUGUACCGACUGGAUGAGCAGCGAACAGGUGAGUAACGCGUGGGGAAUCUGCCUUUGAGCGGGGGACAACAUUUGGAAACGAAUGCUAAUACCGCAUAAAAACUUUAAACACAAGUUUUAAGUUUGAAAGAUGCAAUUGCAUCACUCAAAGAUGAUCCCGCGUUGUAUUAGCUAGUUGGUGAGGUAAAGGCUCACCAAGGCGAUGAUACAUAGCCGACCUGAGAGGGUGAUCGGCCACAUUGGGACUGAGACACGGCCCAAACUCCUACGGGAGGCAGCAGUAGGGAAUCUUCGGCAAUGGACGAAAGUCUGACCGAGCAACGCCGCGUGAGUGAAGAAGGUUUUCGGAUCGUAAAACUCUGUUGGUAGAGAAGAACGUUGGUGAGAGUGGAAAGCUCAUCAAGUGACGGUAACUACCCAGAAAGGGACGGCUAACUACGUG
rnacentral:rRNA from 1 species